GUGGCAGCCCAUUGCAAAAUGAGGGAAAAGCUUUAUCUUCUUGCUUUUGGGUAUUACAGAAGUAGUGAAUAUCGAAGGAGCAGGCAGCUUGCAGAACAAUGUUGGUUCAAAAUAUGAGUAAAGAAGAGUUCUUGAAGAUCCAGUCCUGCAAUUCUUAGGUUUCUUGCUUGUGCAUUUCCUGGAGUAGCUGAUCACUAGAAUUUAAGUUCGAAGAGUACAAAGAGGUUAAGAAAUGCUAUCCUCAUGGAUUUCAUGGAGUUGAUAAGUAUGGAAGACCACUGUACAUAGAAAGGGUUGGAAUGGUAGAUCUUAAUGCCUUUUUGCAAAUAACUACUAUCGAUAGAUUUAUGAAGUAUCACGUGUUUGAACAAGAGAAAACAUUGAAUUGGAGAUACCCUGCAUGCUCGGUAUCAGCAAAGAAGCAUAUAGCUUCCACCACAAGCAUCUUAGAUGUGAAGGGUGUGGGUCUCUCUAAUUUCUCAAAGCUUGCAAGGAAUAUCUUCACAAAAGUUCAAAAGAUUGACAGCAAUUAUUAUCCUGAGGUAUGUAGAAAAUGCCUUGAAAACUGCUAUUCAACAGCAGUGGAUAGGGUUCUAUCAUAUGUAAACUAGAACAGCA